AAUCAAGUGCCUUAAGGGUGUUCGGUGGAUGCCUUGGCGCUGAGAGGCGAUGAAGGACGUGCUACGCUGCGAUAAGCCGUGGGGAGCUGCGAAGAAGCUUUGAUCCGCGGAUUUCCGAAUGGGGAAACCCACCUUCGAUAGCCGGAACUCCAAGACCUUUGGUCUUGGUGUUCGACCAGAAAUGAUCGGGACCAUGACCGCGAGGUUUUGGAUUUCCGGUUAUCAAGAGAAGGUAUGAGACUUCUGAAUACAUAGGAGGUUUCAAGCAAACCCAGGGAACUGAAACAUCUAAGUACCUGGAGGAAAGGACAUCAACAGAGACUCCGUUAGUAGUGGCGAGCGAACGCGGACCAGGCCAGUGAUACAUCAAAGACAAUCGGAACCAGUCAGGAAAGCUGGCCU
rnacentral:rRNA from 1 species